UUACUAGAUGUGAAGAAGGUGCUUAUUCAGAGAGAAAUGUAUUUUAAGGUUUGAAAGAGUAACUAAUGGAAAACCUUGUUUUGACACCCAUCUCCUUCUGAACCUGGUGACUCUCAGCCCUGGAUGAACAGCAGAAUCGCUGGAGAGCUUUAAAAAUACUGAUGUUCAGGUCAUAUUCUUGGCCAGUUAAAUACAAAUCUCUUUGAGAGGCACACAGGCCUUAGAAAAAUGGGAACGUCAGGGACAGAAUGAACCACCGUGGCACCCACGUAUGGGAACUUUCAGAUGGGACUUGACGCCAUCAAAUGGGUUAAUGUUACUUGAUGCCGAUAGUACUUCUGAGAGAUUCUUUUCCCUUAUAGGUUAUUACAAAGUACUGAGUAUAGUUCCUUGUGCUAUACUAUUCUUCAUAUAAGUGAUAUCAUAUGAUAUGUCUUUAUCUGGCUUACUUCACUUAGUGUGAUAACCUCUAGGUAUAUCCAUGUUGAUACAAAUGGCAUUAUUUCAUUCUUUUUCUUUUCUUUUUUUUUACUGAGACAACAUAUUAAAAAGCAAAGACAUCACUUUACUGACAAAGAUCUGUAUAGUCAAAGCUAUACAGUAGUCAUGCAUGGAUGUGAGAGUUGGACCAUAAAGAAGGUUGAGUACCAAAGAAUUGAUGUUUUCAAAUUGUGGUCCUGGGAGAAGACUCUUGAGAGUCCCUUGGACUGCAAGGAGAUCAAACCAGUCAAUCUUAAGGAAAUCAACCCUGAAUAUUCACUGGAAGCACUGAUGCUGAAGCUGAAGCUCCAAUCCUUUGGCCACCUGAUGCGAAGAGCUGACUCAUUGGAAAAGACACUGAUGCUGGGAAAGACUGAGGCAAAAGGACAAGGGGGAAGCAGAUGAUAAGAAGGUUAGAUAGCAUCACCGACUCAAUGGACAUGAGUCUGAGCAAACUCUGGGAGACAAUGGAGGUCAGAGGAGAGAGUUGAGUCCUGGUGACCUACCAUCCAUGGGGUUGCAAACAGUUGGAGACGACUGAAUGACUGAGCAACAACAUCAAGUAUUCCAUUGUAUAUAUGUACUACAUCUUCUUUAUCCGUUUCUUUCAGUGGACAUUUGGGUUGCUUCCAUGUUUUGGAUGCUGUAAAACAUGGCUGUGAACAUUGGGGUGCGUGUAUCUUUCCGAACUACAGUUUUCUCCAGGCACAUGCUCAGGAGUGGCAUUGCUGGAUCACACGGUAGCUCUAUUUUUAAUUUUUGAGGAGCCUCCACACUUCUCUCCAUAGCGGCUGCACCAAUUUACAUUCCCACCGACAGCAUAGGAGGGUUCCUUUUUCUCCACACCCUCUGCAGCAUUUAUAAUUUGUAGACUUUUUGUUGACCUUUUGGACCAAGUGCUAACCUCUUUCAAUGUUAGUUUUCUUAUUCAUCCAACGGGGGACUAAUUUCCUUCAAAGUUGUGGCAAGGCUUUGUGAGUUGGUUAUUAGAUGCUGCUCUGUGUCCAGACGUCUCCUGCUCAGGUGGGCCCUGUGUUUGAGGAAGUGUGAGGUGCUGGGUGGAGUCGUGUACACUGUUCCCAGAACGUGCCCUCAGCCCUGUUGUGGUCUUGACAUCUCAGAGACAGCCGCUCUUGUAGAUGAAGCAGAGGGUUCUUCCCACAGCCAGGGUUUGGUCUGCUCAUUCUCAAAGACCUGGCAGGAAGAGGAACUCCAACAGGAGUGGGUGGGCACUGGGAGGGUGAUGAGACACUGAUCCACAGUUUUACCCCUUUGUAAAUCUCAGGCACACAGGUUAAAUUACUCAUAUCUCUCAAUAAAUUGAACCUCACCAUCAUUUUCCUGUUCUCAGCCCUUCUCCUUUUUUUUUUUUUUUUUUUUAAUUAAACAUAAUUUUUACCCUCAGUCUCAGGCUUCCCAGCAGUGCUAGUGGUAAAGAACCUUCUUGCCAAUGCAGGAGACAUAAGAGACUCAGGUUCAAUCCCUGGGUUGGGAAGAUUCCUUGGAGGAGAGUAUGGCAACCCACUCCAGUAUUCUUGCCUGGAAAAUUCCAUGGACAGAGGAGCCUGGCAGGCUACAGUUGCAAAG
ensembl:lncRNA